UCUUGGGAGGCAGGGCUCACAGCAGGGCUGAGUGAAGGUGGUGAGGUUGAGGGUCUCCAGGCCUGGAGUUGGCUGGCAGGAGUUGAGCAGGAAGCAGGUGCUGGGCAGGCAGACUCCACAGCGGCAGGAUUUGUCGGAGGAGCAGAUGGUGGUGGCAGGCCCAGUGGGGACACUGCAGCUGCGAGAGGCACAGCAAUCCAUGGCAAUGGGCGUCUGGUUAGCUUUCAGUUUCUUAGAUGAGGAUUCUGAGGUUUCUGGCAUGCCAAACCUUAUAUGACUUUUAUGGGUAAUCAAUCCAAGUGACAAUUCAGCUGUAAUUUUGGAGGCCAAACUCUUCUUGUUUUUCCCUCUUAAUUUAAAAUACUAUGGAUAAUGUGAUUUCUAAUGACUAAUUUCAGAAUGAGUAACUCAAAUGAUGAACUGGACCAUUUUCAACUCAAUAAAGUCAACAAGAAUAUGGCUAUUUACAGAUGAAUGUUUCAUGUGACUACAGGCAUCUCGGACAUGUUUGCAUUAUUUAGUGAUAUUAUAAUUCAGGUUCUAUUGAGCAAG
rnacentral:lncRNA from 1 species